UUUAUUUAUGCUACUCGUGCCAAGAUAGAAACAAUGCUUAGAAUCUUAGAACACUGAUUUGGCUGACUUUUAAUAUUUUGGCAUGUGACAUAUAUUUGUUAAGUCAAUAAACCAUGAAAUUAUUUAUUUCUCAACUUUUUUUUCCCAUAACACCUAUGUUGUAAAGAGCAUAGCCUUGAAAGUAGAAAGAUCUACACUACAGUAGAAGCCUGAUAAUUAGUAGGUUUUUUCAUGUUUUUUG
rnacentral:misc_RNA from 1 species